rnacentral:rRNA from 1 species
GUAAUGUAUCGGAACGUACCUUUCAGUGGGGGAUAACGUAGCGAAAGUUACGCUAAUACCGCAUAUUCUGUGAGCAGGAAAGCAGGGGAUCGCAAGACCUUGCGCUGAUUGAGCGGCCGAUAUCAGAUUAGCUAGUUGGUGAGGUAAAGGCUCACCAAGGCGACGAUCUGUAGCGGGUCUGAGAGGAUGAUCCGCCACACUGGAACUGAGACACGGUCCAGACUCCUACGGGAGGCAGCAGUGGGGAAUUUUGGACAAUGGGGGCAACCCUGAUCCAGCCAUGCCGCGUGAGUGAAGAAGGCCUUCGGGUUGUAAAGCUCUUUCGGCCGGGAAGAAAUCGUAUGGGUUAAUACCCUGUGCGGAUGACGGUACCGGCAUAAGAAGCACCGGCUAACUACGUGCCAGCAGCCGCGGUAAUACGUAGGGUGCGAGCGUUAAUCGGAAUUACUGGGCGUAAAGCGUGCGCAGGCGGUUUUGUAAGACAGGCGUGAAAUCCCCGGGCUCAACCUGGGAACUGCGCUUGUGACUGCAAGGCUAGAGUAUGGCAGAGGGGGGUGGAAUUCCACGUGUAGCAGUGAAAUGCGUAGAGAUGUGGAGGAACACCAAUGGCGAAGGCAGCCCCCUGGGCCAAUACUGACGCUCAUGCACGAAAGCGUGGGUAGCAAACAGGAUUAGAUACCCUGGUAGUCCACGCCCUAAACGAUGUCAACUAGGUGUUGGGUGGGUAAAACCAUUUAGUACCGGAGCUAACGCGUGAAGUUGACCGCCUGGGGAGUACGGCCGCAAGGUUAAAACUCAAAGGAAUUGACGGGGACCCGCACAAGCGGUGGAUGAUGUGGAUUAAUUCGAUGCAACGCGAAAAACCUUACCUACCCUUGACAUGUCCAGGAGCCUGAAGAGAUUUGGGUGUGCCCGAAAGGGAACUGGAACACAGGUGCUGCAUGGCUGUCGUCAGCUCGUGUCGUGAGAUGUUGGGUUAAGUCCCGCAACGAGCGCAACCCUUGUCGUUAAUUGCCAUCAUUUAGUUGGGCACUUUAACGAGACUGCCGGUGACAAACCGGAGGAAGGUGGGGAUGACGUCAAGUCCUCAUGGCCCUUAUGGGUAGGGCUUCACACGUCAUACAAUGGUCGGUACAAAGGGUUGCCAACCCGCGAGGGGGAGCCAAUCCCAGAAAGCCGAUCGUAGUCCGGAUUGCAGGCUGCAACUCGCCUGCAUGAAGUCGGAAUCGCUAGUAAUCGUGGAUCAGCAUGUCACGGUGAAUACGUUCCCGGGUCUUGUACACACCGCCCGUCACACCAUGGGAGCGGGUUCCGCCAGAAGUAGGUAGCCUAACCGCAAGGGGGGCGCUUACCACGGCGGGGUUCGUGACUGGGGUGAAGUCGUAACAAGGUA